UGCAAGCCCCUCACUUUUUGGCCCAAGGGAGUUUUUACACUACUACUUAGCACUAUUUCAUGCAGCAAAGGCUAGCUAUUAUAAUUGACCACUUACAACGCGCCCUCCUAGGACUAGAAGUAUCACUCCAGCCUACAUCAGUAUUCUUGUGCCCAUUUUACAGAUGGGGCUCAGAGAGUCGGCACCACUGGUCCGUAGACUUGAAUAUUUAUCAGAGAACAAGUAUGCCUCGAUGAUUUUACCUAGAACUUCCUCUGAUCCGCAGCAUUCACCAAGCCGACCGGACCGCUGAAAGGUAGUGUUUCUGAAAUCCAGGAGCCGCAGACCUUCGCCAGGAAGAGCUCACAGAGCGCGCCCGGAAUUUCUGCAGGCUCCGGGGGACGCCGUUCGCACCGCGGAAAGGUGAGGAAAGAGACUCAGAGAGGUUGGGACUUAAUUGAGAGCGCUCCUUCAGAAAACCCGGAUGCCAGGCUGCUGGCUCCCUGGUGCCCGUGGACUUGGGAGGCAACUCAGCGUCAGAGGAAAGGUGAUGGGGGAGGUCGCAGGUACAAAGAGUAAAUUCGGAGUCGGGAAAUCUGGGUCUCGCCCCGCUCUGUUCUAAGUGCAUCGUGUGACCUUGGGAAAACAGAAGGGAGGCAGGACCCCAGCUCGGCAUGUGGGGCAGCUGUCUUCCUCUGUGCCCCCCCCUCUUCUCUCCUGCCUCCAUCG